GUUUGAUCAUGGCUCAGAUUGAACGCUGGCGGCGUGCCUAACACAUGCAAGUCGAGCGGCAGCGGGCCCGCAAGGGUGCCGGCGAGCGGCGGACGGGUGAGCAAUACAUAGGAAUCUGCCUCAGAGCGGGGGAUAGCCAGGGGAAACCCUGAUUAAUACCGCAUGAUGUCGAGAGACCAAAGUGGGGGAUCGUAAGACCUCACACUCUGAGGUGAGCCUAUGUCGGAUUAGCUAGUUGGCGGGGUAACGGCCCACCAAGGCGACGAUCCGUAGCUGGUCUGAGAGGACGAUCAGCCACACCGGAACUGAGACACGGUCCGGACUCCUACGGGAGGCAGCAGUGGGGAAUAUUGGACAAUGGGCGAAAGCCUGAUCCAGCGACGCCGCGUGGGUGAAGAAGGCCUUCGGGUUGUAAAGCCCUUUAAGCCGGGACGAAAAAGCCAAACUUAAUACGUUUGGCCUUGACGGUACCGGAAGAAUAAGCACCGGCUAACUCUGUGCCAGCAGCCGCGGUAAUACAGAGGGUGCAAGCGUUAAUCGGAUUUACUGGGCGUAAAGCGUGUGUGGUGGCUCGCUAAGUCGGUUGUGAAAUCCCUGGGCUCAACCUGGGAAUUGCAGUCGAUACUGGCAAGCUCGAGUUCGGUAGAGGGUGACGGAAUUCCCGGUGUAGCGGUGAAGUGCGUAGAUAUCGGGAGGAACAUCGAUGGCGAAGGCAAUCACCUGGGCCUGAACUGACACUGUGACACGAAAGCGUGGGUAGCAAACAGGAUUAGAUACCCUGGUAGUCCACGCCGUAAACGAUGGGAACCUGACGUCGGUUUGCUCUGCGAAUCGGUGUCGUAGCUAACGCGCUAAGUUCCCCGCCUGGGGAGUACGGC
rnacentral:rRNA from 1 species